CUUCAUGUAUGUAUGUCUCACCUGCUGGUUUCACCUCCUCCAGAUCCUUCAGACCUUUCUUGAUUUUCUCUCUGUGAACGAAAAAAAGGAGUUUAACCAGGCAGAGGCAGCAGGGCUCGUCCUGGCCGCUGGCACCCAUCAGUGCUGCCAAAGCCAACUCACAGAAACCUGGACUGCUGCUGGCCAGGACAGCUGGCCAAAAGAGAACAAAGGCAACAUCAUGCCAGCUGGAUGGUACUCCUGAGGGUGUCCACUGUCCCAAACCACUUGCUUUCCAACAGUGAGCCCCAAAGGUUCAAAACGCAGAAGGCUGUGCAUGGUGGUAGCUUCUGGACAGAAGGGAAAGAGCAGAGGUCGUGUUGGUUUUGAGAAAGCUGAGAGGACACCAAAGGACUCUGACAGCAGUGCCACUGUCCUCUACUGAGAGCACUCAUUCCACACAACAAUUUCCCAAUUUCUGGUUUUUUAACGCAAAGCACUGCAAUCCUCAGCUGUUUGUACAGAGCAGUCAGCCAGGAUUUACAGCAGCUAUUUCAAGAGGAGCUGGACUUGCCCGACCACACUGCUGACUGUAACAAAGUUGAUUAUAUUUCGUCGCCACGCUCCCAGACCUACAAGGGAAAACCAGAGCACAUCAGCGGCCUGAUCUGGGGUGACAUUUCGGGGAGAAACUGACAAUAUUCGCGGUUCCAGACAUCUCGAGGUACCCGCAGCUCUCGCCGGCUGCGGAGGUGAAUCAGACUGCAAAAAGGAUCUUGCUUUUCCCUCGGCAGGAAGAGAUGGGGAAGUCAGAGUCAUCCUGCUGGAGAGUUUUCCUGUCAUCUCACUUCAGCCCUGCUCCUGCUGUCUCUGGAUGGUUCGCUGUAGCCACGGCGCUCUGACCUGACACAUCUGUGUCACAGUGCCUUCUCCACGCCGCCGAUCCCAACGCCGAGCCAAGCCUCCCCAUGAUGCAAGUUGGAAACUUUACCAGAGCCCGUGGACCAGCAGUGAAUAAUGUCAGCCAGAGAUCUGGCUCACAAAGUUCUUAAUGCCUUUGAGCUAGCAAGGCCAAAGAGUAAGCAAGCGGUGUUUUACAGUCUCUGUGGAUACACAAAACAUGGACGAUUAAGGACAGAGCAGCCUGGGCUUUUCCAGAGACCCAGCCAAAAGAAAGGCCGAGCUGAGCAGAGGCUUGCGAGACAGCAGAGGAAGCUUGCUGAGCUUCCCAAAACCAGAUGCACUCCAGCUUUCCAAGCUGCACGAGUCCACCCCAAGCCCCAGGAGCGCUCGCCUUGCCCAGGAGUGCGUGUCAUGUUAUCCAGAUGUUGGAAAUCUUGCUUCAGGCGCAUGUGACUCCAUGUGUUUGGAACAAGCCUCCACUGCCAGUUCGCUCUUUACUUGUUUCCAAGUGUGUGAAUUCCUCUUUUAGCCUGUGGUUUCUGCUGAAGAAGCAGAUAAAUCACGGCUAUUUUGCUGGAAUGAACGGAUGAGAGGGAGAUAGGCAUGUAGGGCAUAUAGUGGCUCAUGGCUGUUUGGCUUCUUUCACACAAGGGGUGGAGCCUCCUUUCCCAAUUCCCAGAACUUGUUCGCUGAUGCUUGGCUCUCUCCCCAACCUCUUCCAGUGCCACAGUGCUGCACAGGGUGCCCAGCCCCAUCAGGGCAGGCUCUUUUCCCUGUGUGCACACAAACCCUCGGGAAAGCAGCCUCCUGAGCUAGUAUCUUCAUGAUAUCCCAGGAGCCAGAUGAGGCAUCAGCGGCUUGCCAAUGCCAAAACAAACCAUGUUGCAGCAGCAGGAGGGGACCUUGGCUCUUGGCUGCACCAAGGCACCCAGGCCAGCUGCAGAUCUCUGCCCCAACCCCAGCUGAGUGUCCCGCUGCCUCUGUGUGUUGGUUCUGCACCUGGAGCAGGCACAGCUUGCCCUCGCUCCCCAUCCCGCCCGUCUGGAAUCCAGGUCACUUGCACGAGAACCUCCUUUACGCUGGCUUCUGGUGCCUGGAGGCUGGGACAGCAGGGAAACCAGGGGGAGCAGGGAGAAACCCCCUUCAGUCAAGGAAAACAGAACUCUUAAAAAAAUACAGCUACAAAGUAACCCAGCCCUAGAAGCAGAAGGUUUGACGUGAAUGGUCGAUGAGCAAAUGAACUCCAGUUCACUGCCAAGGUUUAUUGCAGAGAAAGUAGUAAACAGAACAGCUUACAGCAUCUUUGGGAUUAUACAGUUCCCUCCUUCAUCUCCAGCACUUGCAGAUGAUUUCCCCAAAUGUUGUCCCUUAACAUCCACCCACUCCCAUCUUUUUUUUGGCCCAGGGUGGUCGGGAAGACCUCAGGCAAACGGUGCCAAAGCAAACUCGUCGUAUUUGGGGGCGAGCAGUUGGAAGGAAAAGUCACCCUUGCUGUAACCUGGCCAUGAGCCUGGCCCUGCCCGUGGGUCCUCAGGAAUGCUGCAGCGGAAAGGUGGUGCCUGGGGGGAAGUCCUUCAGUGCUGUGGCAAGAUGACCUUAGGACUGGAGUCAUACAGUGGCUUGGUGGCCACACAAGCUGCCUUCUGCUUAGACUACAGAGGGUCUGGAGGGCUUUGUUGCUUCAGAAAUCCAGUUCAGGUCCAGGAUACCUCUGCCCAACAGCUGUGAGCCAGCCUGCUUUCUUCAGGAUGCUCAGUGAUUGCCAACAUUUGGAAAAAUCAAACUUGUGUGCUUCUGUGUCUGCAGCUGCCAUGCUGAUUAAUUAAAUCUCCUUUCUGACUCAGGUCUGGGAUUGCCCUUCUGCCAAAUGAUCCAGGGGCAGCAUGGAAUGGGACAGCUCCACAGCCCUGGCACCAGCCAGCGCUUCCAGACACCCUGAGCUGUGCAAACACAAGGAUGGGUGAUGAUCAUGACGGGGAGCCUUGAGCCAGGGCAGCUCACAGAAAAUAUUUUUCUUCUCCCCUCACAGGAUAUGAACCACACUUGGAAGUCUCAUGCUUUGUAAAAGGAAAGAGAAACCAGAGGGGCUCCAGCAGUUACACAACAUGCAGGAGCUGUUUGAGAGCUGCCUCCUGAAGGAUUAGCUACAAAUCCUUGUUCCCUUUACAGCUGAAGCCUUGUGUCUGCACGCAUCCUGUAAAGCAGUGUAGAAAUGAAUAAAUAAAAAGGACAGCAUUAAGUAACACAGGAACUCUCAUGUCCAUGUGGUACUGCCUGCAUCAUCCAGAUGGAAAGUAUCUCUCUAGACAAAUCUGGGAAUUAUGCAAGCUCGGAAUUCCUGAAUAGCUCUUCCUUUCCAACAUCAUGAAGCAUUUGUAGUGCCCACUGAAAAUACUCACAGAAACACAGGGGGGGAAAGAAACCCUUCAAUUCCAACAGCCAGGAAACCUAAACACUAGCAGUAUGUUGGAUGAGAGACGGUAUUAGUGCAGGAAUAUGGAGCAGUGUCCCUGCUGUGUGCACGCUGACUCAUCCCUGAGGAGCCAGGAUGAUCCCUGAUGCUCCCUCCUGUCUCAGCAGAAGCGGAGCAGGCAGCUGAGCUUCUUGGGGUUCUCUGCUGCCUGAUGCCCUGGACGAGGCACAGAGAUGCUUGUUUCCACUUUUGCAAAGCUGUUUGUUUCCACGGUGCUCAGACAAGCAGAAGGAAUGAAAACAAAGAGGGAAAGAUGGGCUGUCCUGGUGCAAACCACAACGGCAUAAAAAUAAAUCACUCUGCCUGGGAGAGGAAAAAAAAAGCAGGACGGAAAACAUGGAAAUCCCACUCUGGCCCAGGAGCUGCUGCUGGCUCUGAGCAACGCCCAGGGAUCACCGGGGCUGGGAGUUUAGCACAACUCUAGAGUUGUAGUGACCCUUUUUGGUGUUCUUGGGAAACAACGGCCCAGCCAGAGGAGACAGAAGAAUGGAGCAGCCAGGAACUCUCCCUGCAGAGCAGUGCAACCCAGGGAAAAGAUGACACAAUUCUCAAUAUUAUAUGGAGAAAAAUAAUUUUUUAAAAAGCAUGGGUCAUGAUCCAGCAGUCAUCCAGUUUGUGGCAGUUUUAUCACUGGCCCCAGGAGGACAGGUUCAAACCUUCUGCGGGUGCAUCCAAAUAGAAACAUCACUUGUGUUCAGUUUGGGGUCACGCUGGAGGAAAAGGAGCUGACGUUUAUCCAUCUGGCCUGGCCCCUUCGGUGCUGCAAAGGAGAGCAAGAGAGAGCAUUGUGUCAGUUCUGUGCUGCCAGGCCCAGGAGAAAAAGAGUAAAGAGCUACUGGAAGACUGGGUGAUAAAACAACUGCUUGUACCACUGUCUGGGGGCACUCAGGACAACAUUUAUGCAGGGCCAGGGGGGCUGCAGCAGGACAUCGUGCCUGAGCCACCAUUGGAUCAGCAGCCCAGAAAGCAGAUGUGCCAAUUUCCUGUCCUUGAUGAUGAUGGGCCCUAAUUACGCCAGAGCUGUGGCAAUGUCCUUUCUAGUGUAUGACCCCUAAUUUGGUUUCAUGAAGUCAUCUGUGCCAGGUUCUUCCGGCUGCAAGGCUGGGGCAAGUGACAGUCACGAAGAGCCCUGAGCUCUGUGUGGCCAAACACCUGGCCCGUGCUUUGAACAAACAAAAUUCAACUAGGAACAAAUAAACAACCCACUGGGAGGUGGGUCAUUUGCUUGG